CCCCCAGUAGCUCAGUGGAUAGAGCAGCGGCCUUCUAAUCCGCCGGUCACACGUUCGAAUCGUGUCUGGGGGACCG
rnacentral:tRNA from 3 species